CCUGACGCAGCGACGCCGCGUGAACGAGGAAGGUCUUCGGAUCGUAAAGUUCUGUUGCAGGGGACGAACGGCACUAUAGCCAAUAAGUAUAGUGAAUGACGGUACCCUGUUAGAAAGCCACGGCUAACUACGUGCCAGCAGCCGCGGUAAUACGUAGGGUGCAAGCGUUGUCCGGAAUCAUUGGGCGUAAAGGGAGCGCAGGCGGAACAUUAAGCGGAUCUUAAAAGUGCGGGGCUCAACCCCGUGAUGGGGUCCGAACUGAGGUUCUUGAGUGCAGGAGAGGAAAGCGGAAUUCCCAGUGUAGCGGUGAAAUGCGUAGAUAUUGGGAAGAACACCAGUGGCGAAGGCGGCUUUCUGGACUGUAACUGACGCUGAGGCUCGAAAGCCAGGGUAGCGAACGGGAUUAGAUACCCCGGUAGUCCUGGCCGUAAACGAUGGAUACUAGGUGUAGGGGGUAUCGACCCCUCCUGUGCCGGAGCAAACGCAAUAAGUAUCCCGCCUGGGGAGUACGACCGCAAGGUUGAAACUCAAAGGAAUUGACGG
rnacentral:rRNA from 1 species